rnacentral:rRNA from 1 species
GUCCACAGCCAUGCCACCCUGAACAUGCCCAAUCUCGUGUGAUCUCGGAAGCUAAGCAGGGUCGGGCCUGGUUAGUACGUGGAUGGGAGACCACCCAGGAAGACCAGGUGCUCCAGGCG